AUUGAACGCUGGCGGCAGGCCUAACACAUGCAAGUCGAGCGAGCGGCGGACGGGUGAGUAAUGUAUGGGGAACUGCCCGAUAGAGGGGGAUAACUACUGGAAACGGUGGCUAAUACCGCAUACUAUCGGAUGAACCCAUAUGGGAUUAGCUAGUAGGUGGGGUAACGGCUCACCUAGGCGACGAUCUCUAGCUGGUCUGAGAGGAUGAUCAGCCACACUGGCACUGCGACCCGGCCCAGACUCCCACGUGGGGCAUCAGUGGGGAAUAUUGCCCCAUGGGCGCACGCCUGAUGCAGCCAUGCCGCGUGUAUUAAGAAGGCCUUAGGGUUGUAAAGUACUUUCAGCUGGGAGGCGUUACCCGCAGAAGAAGCACCGGCUAACUCCGUGCCAGCAGCCGCGGUAAUAC
rnacentral:rRNA from 1 species